rnacentral:rRNA from 1 species
UACAGAGGUCUCAAGCGUUGUUCGGAUUCAUUGGGCGUAAAGGGUGCGUAGGCGGCGCGGUAAGUCGGGUGUGAAAUCUUGGAGCUUAACUCCGAAACUGCAUUCGAUACUGCCGUGCUUGAGGACUGGAGAGGAGACUGGAAUUUACGGUGUAGCGGUGAAAUGCGUAGAUAUCGUAAGGAAGACCAGUGGCGAAGGCGGGUCUCUGGACAGUUCCUGACGCUGAGGCACGAAGGCCAGGGUAGCAAACGGG